rnacentral:rRNA from 1 species
GAUAAACGCUAGCGGCGUGCCUAAUGCAUGCAAGUCGAACGGUCUAUCGCAAGAUAGACAGUGGCAAACGGCUGAGUAACACGUAAGCAACCUGUCCCUAAGUGGGGAAUAAUUCACCGAAAGGUGGACUAAUACCGCAUGUGGUAGUGGAGGUAGGUUUUCACUACUAAAGCUCUCGGGCGCUUUGGGAGGGGCUUGCGUCCUAUCAGGUAGUUGGUGAGGUAACGGCCCACCAAGCCUAUGACGGGUAGCUGGUUUUAGAGGACGUCCAGCCAGACGGGGACUGAGACACGGCCCCGACUCCUACGGGAGGCUG